rnacentral:miRNA from 1 species
UCCGUUCCAGAAUAGAUGACC